rnacentral:rRNA from 1 species
AGUGAACGCUGGCGGUAGGCCUAACACAUGCAAGUCGAACGGCAGCACAGUAAGAGCUUGCUCUUACGGGUGGCGGGUGGCGGACGGGUGAGGAAUACAUCGGAAUCUACUUUUUCGUGGGGGAUAACGUAGGGAAACUUACGCUAAUACCCCAUACGACCUACGGGUGAAAGCAGGGGAUCUUCGGACCUUGCGCGAUUGAAUGAGCCGAUGUCGGAUUAGCUAGUUGGCGGGGUAAAGGCCCACCAAGGCGACGAUCCGUAGCUGGUCUGAGAGGAUGAUCAGCCACACUGGAACUGAGACACGGUCCAGACUCCUACGGGAGGCAGCAGUGGGGAAUAUUGGACAAUGGGCGCAAGCCUGAUCCAGCCAUACCGCGUGGGUGAAGAAGGCCUUCGGGUUGUAAAGCCCUUUUGUUGGGAAAGAAAAGCAGCAGGUUAAUACCCCGCUGUUCUGGCGGUACCCAAAGAAUAAGCACCGGCUAACUUCGUG